UACGAAGGGGGCUAGCGUUGCUCGGAAUCACUGGGCGUAAAGCGCACGUAGGCGGAUUGCUAAGUCAGGGGUGAAAUCCUGGAGCUCAACUCCAGAACUGCCUUUGAUAACUGGCGAUCUUGAGUCCGGGAGAGGUGAGUGGAAACUGCGAGUGUAGAGGUGAAAAUUCGUAGAUAUUCGCAAGAACACCAGUGGCGAAGGCGGCUCACUGG
rnacentral:rRNA from 1 species